GCUGAGCCAGAGAUCUCCAUUGUGUAUUUGUGCAGUGGCUUUUGGAACCCAAGUAAAGGACCUUUCAUUUCGGGUGAAAUUCCUCUUGGUAGAGUUGACCUAUGCUGGUCUUUGGAGAGGUGGAUGAGAUUCCUGAUUUCCGUAAUUAUCUGUGCCUGGAGGUGUAGACAGGAAAGGAUCACUGGAGGAGACUGGAAACACGGUGCCCAGGAGUGGGGAGUGUACCUCAGGGGCCAGGGAAAGAACUUCCUUCUGACAGCCGGACACAGCCUUCUGUGUGGCAUGACCACAUCUCAGACCCGGAACCAAAGAUGCUGAUUGCUCUCAGCAGCCUGCACUCUCCCCUCCCGGGCCUCCCCAGCGGGUUAUCAUGCUGACUCAAGGAACACAACCCCCAUCUGGAUGCAGUCCAAACGCCAGAUGUGCCCCCGAUUAGUGUCGGUCUGGGGAAUGUUUCCACGACUGAAAGAUCUGCAAUGGGCUCCUGUCUAUUCUGAUUUUCUUAUGGCAGCCAUCACCUCCACUAUGGAAAGAAAAAUGAACGAUGAUGUUGUGAUGGGCCGGGCUGCCGUGUUUCAGCCUAUUUACAGGUCAUACCCAUUUCAGUAGACUGUGACACUUCAGCGACCUGCAAAUUCUACACAUUAGAGUUCAGACUUUACACAAACGCUGUACACCCAAGACGUGGACGGGGCGUUUCUACCAGCAACACCCAACUCCCAACAAAAGACACAGGCUCUGUCAGAGGAUGAAAACUACUAAUGAAGAUGCAUUCCAGAUGAUAUGUUGGAUCAUCCCCUAGGAAAAAAAAUGAUUCAUGAAUAAUUUCAUGGCAAUCACACCAAAAAAAGAGAGUAAUAAUUUCCUCAA